UUUAGCCUUAGUGAUUAGAGGUAGAUCAACCAAACAAUGCUAAUGUUGUUAGCAGUGAGCGACUCCAUGAAAUGCCUGUAGCAUCCAUGCGAGACAAGGUGGAGGCACAUUACUGGAAGGGGAGUUGGUCAUGACUGGGCUUGCGGUGAGGGGUGUGAGAGGCCCUGUGUCCUGGGUGAGAUUAUCCCAGGCAGGCCAAGGGCCAGUGAGACAGUCUACAAGAACGAGGAAAUGAUUGGUGGACUGUGGAGAAAAUUUAGAUCCAUCUGCCACAAAUGAUGUCACAAAGGACACCUAUACCAUAGCGAU